UUAAAUUGCCGCAGUAUCUUGACUGUGCAAAGGUAGCAUAAUAAUUAGUUUCUUGAUUAGAAACUGGAAUGAAUGAUUGGACGAGAAAAUUUCUGUCUCUUUUGGAANGAUUAUUGAAUUUUAUUUUUGAGUUAAAAAGCUCAAAUUAAAAUAAAAGACGAGAAGACCCUAUAGAGUUUAAUAUUUAGUUUCUAUUAAAUUUUAGUAAGAUUUUUGGUUAAUAAGUAUUUAGUUGGGGUGACUUAAAGAUUAAAAUAAUUCUUUAAAUUUUUAAUUGUUGAUAGAUAAUUUUUAAAUCUAGUUUUUUAAAUUUAAAAUUAAUUACCUUAGGGAUAACAGCGUAAUUUUUCUUUAGAGUUCAAAUCGAAAGAAAAAUUUGCGACCUCGAUGUUGGAUUAAAAUUAAUUUUUGGUGCAGUAACUAAAAAAUUAGGUCUGUUCGACCUUUAAAAUUUUACAUGAUCUGAGUUUAAACCGGUGUAAGCCAGGUUGGAUUCUAUCUUUAGUUUUGUAAUAUAUUUUAGUACGAAAGGACCAAAUAUAUGUUAGAUUAUAAUUA
rnacentral:rRNA from 1 species